AAAACAAAGGGUAAAACCCACACGUCAAAAGUCAAAACCCUAAUGACUAAUUUUUUUGGGAGAAAAUUCCAAGUCCCAAAAACAUGUUUCUGUGAACAACAAACCACCCCCGGCCAAUAUUCCUCUUGAUCUUCCCGAGGAGGCCCUUUUCCGAGCUCAAUGAAGCCCGAUCAACAACAGGACGACGAAACGCAAAACCCAGAAAUCCCCAACGGAUCCAAACCCCUACCACCACCACCACCACCACCACCACCAUCUUCUUCUUCUUCCUCGCCUCCACGCAAGAAAACCAGGGACUUGCCCACCCUCUCUGAAUGCCACGCCUGCAAAUUCCGGAUCGACAUCGCCGACGGCAAGAGCAAGCUCCACACCCUCUACAGCGAGUGGCGCAUCGUCCUCCUCUGCAAGAAAUGCUUUGCCGGCGUCGAGUCCUCCGAGAUUUGCUCCUACUGUUUCGGCUCUGUUUCCGAGGAGGAUCGUUGUGUCACUUGCUCUGAAUGCAAUCGCCGAGUCCACCGAGAUUGCUUCUCCGAGUACAAAACCUUCGCGUCUCGGUCCCGUUCCUCCUGUUUGGAUUCCGAGAAACUCUCUGUCUGUAUGGAUUGCUGGAUUCCCAGGCCCUUGGCGAGCUGGAGAGGUGUGGUUCUGAGCGAUAGGAACGGGAAGAGGAAGAGAAGAAAUGGUGGUUCGGAAUCUGGGAUUCGGCUCUCCGACAAUGGGGUAUUAGAAGAUGUGGUAAAGGAUGCAAAUUCCAUGGUGGAGAAGAAGAGUGAGGCAGCGGCGGAAGCCCGAGAGAGAGCGGCGACGAAAGCUGCUGUGGCAAAGAAGGCCAUUGAAUUUGCCACCAAUGCAUUGGGUUUUGUUGCCAAGAUAAAUGAGAGGGAAGGUUCAGUUGAUGAUUCCCAAUUGGCUUUCGAAUUGCACAAAGCCAUUAAUGGCUCUUCGAGGAGGAUUUCGAAGAAUUUGUGCUCUGUGAAUUUGGCUUGCUUGGCUGCUCCAAAGGGUUGUUGGGAAUUUGAUGGUGGUGGUGGUGGUGGUGAUGAUCAGUUUAUCAGUGCUUCUUGCUCUGCCAAUGGAAGUGUUUGUGGGAGACCUGAUUCUUGCAGUUAUGGUGAGACAUUCGAGGAGAACCGGGAUAAGAAUGUUUCUGAGGCUUUGGAUUUGUCAUUGAAGGAAGGAGAAGGGAGUUGCUCGAUGAAGACGAUCAACUUCGGUGGAGAUGAUAAUGGUAGUAUGGACUUUGAGUCUCUUUCUUUUUGUAAAGAAGAAGAAGAAUCUAUUGAACAGAACAGUAAAAGAUGUGAUGCAAAGAAGCCUGAUUGCAAUUUGUUUAAGUACUAUCAGAGGAGAAGGAAGAAAAAUGAUCGUUACUUUUUGAAGUAUAGAAGGAAGAAAUCGGAUCGUUAUUUUUUUAAGUAUAGUAAGAGGAAAACCAGAUUGAAAGCAAUUCCUCCUCAAGCUUCUGCUUGAGCUAGUUGUUUGUCCCGAGACCGAGAACUGAAGGAAACAGGUUGACUGGCAAGCUUCUUGCAGGAUCCUUCAUGGUUGCAACUUUUAAAUGGAGCGCCCCUUGCCGUAAAUUAACCGGAAACUAGAAACAAACAAGUGCUAUAACCUAUAAGAUAACUUUAGCCUUUGCUUGGUUAUGUAAUCCUGGUUGCUUGUGGUUGCUCCUUCAGCACCACAUUAAGAUUUUAGGAUGUCAAGCCGAAUUAAAGUUCGAAUAUUUUGUAAAUGAGCCGGGGUCAGCUUGAGCAAGGAAUUUUCAAAUUUUGUGAGAAAUUUUAUUGCUGAUAAUUAUAGUUCUAUCAAUAUUUGGGGGGAAAAAAAAAAUAGUACUUCAUUUGUAUGUAUACUUAUGCUUAAAUACUCGUAUGUAAAUAUAUGUAUAUAUAUAUAUAUAUAUGUAUAGAGGAAUAUUUUAUGGUGCGGACUGCACUAAAAGCCGAUAAUUUUUUGAAAAGAGCAUCGGCUUUAUUGUAUAUGUAGAUGGUCCGCACUAU